CCUACGGGUGGCAGCAGUGAGGAAUAUUGGUCAAUGGACGCAAGUCUGAACCAGCCAUGCCGCGUGCAGGAAGACUGCUCUAUGAGUUGUAAACUGCUUUUGUACGAGGGUAAAUCCCGAUACGUGUAUCGGUUUGAAAGUAUCGUACGAAUAAGGAUCGGCUAACUCCGUGCCAGCAGCCGCGGUAAUACGGAGGAUUCAAGCGUUAUCCGGAUUUAUUGGGUUUAAAGGGUGCGUAGGCGGUUCGAUAAGUUAGAGGUGAAAUUCCGGGGCUCAACUCCGGCACUGCAUCUGAUACUGUCGGGCUAGAGUUUAGUUGAGGUAGGCGGAAUGUAUGGUGUAGCGGUGAAAUGCAUAGAGAUCAUACAGAACACCAAUUGCGAAGGCAGCUUACCAAACUACGACUGACGUUGAGGCACGAAAGCGUGGGGAGCAAACAGGAUUAGAUACCCUAGUAGUC
rnacentral:rRNA from 1 species